CCUACGGGAGGCAGCAGUGGGGAAUUUUGCUCAAUGCUCGUGAGAGUGACGCAGCGACGCCGCGUGAAUGACGACUGCCUUCGGGGCGUUAAGCUCUUUCGACAGGGGAGAAAAUGCAUGUACGUAACCGUUUAUGCAUUGACUGUACGUGUAUAAGCAGCCCCAGCUCACGCCGUGCCAGGAGCCACGGUAAUACGGAGGGGGCGAGCGUUGUUCGGAGUGACUGGGCGUAAAGAGAACGUAGGCGGUGUUGUAAGUCAGUAGUGAAAGUGUAGAGCUCAACUUUAGUAAGGCAAGUGAUACUAGAAGACGUGAGUAUCAGAGAGGAAGGCAGAAUUCCUGGUGUAGCGGUGAAAUGCGUAGAUAUCAGGAGGAACACCGAUAGCGAAGGCGGCAAACUG
rnacentral:rRNA from 1 species